AUCCAGCUGACGAGUCCAAAAACAGGACGAAAUGCGUGUCGCGGAU
rnacentral:hammerhead_ribozyme from 1 species